rnacentral:rRNA from 1 species
CCUUGAAAUACCACCCUGGCAACUUUGAGGUUCUAACUCAGGUCCGUUAUCCGGAUCGAGGACAGUGUAUGGUGGGUAGUUUGACUGGGGCGGUCUCCUCCUAAAGAGUAACGGAGGAGUACGAAGGUGCGCUCAGACCGGUCGGAAAUCGGUCGUAGAGUAUAAAGGCAAAAGCGCGCUUGACUGCGAGACAGACACGUCGAGCAGGUACGAAAGUAGGUCUUAGUGAUCCGGUGGUUCUGUAUGGAAGGGCCAUCGCUCAACGGAUAAAAGGUACUCCGGGGAUAACAGGCUGAUACCGCCCAAGAGUUCAUAUCGACGGCGGUGUUUGGCACCUCGAUGUCGGCUCAUCACAUCCUGGGGCUGAAGCCGGUCCCAAGGGUAUGGCUGUUCGCCAUUUAAAGUGGUACGCGAGCUGGGUUUAGAACGUCGUGAGACAGUUCGGUCCCUAUCUGCCGUGGACGUUUGAGAUUUGAGAGGGGCUGCUCCUAGUACGAGAGGACCGGAGUGGACGAACCUCUGGUGUUCCGGUUGUCACGCCAGUGGCAUUGCCGGGUAGCUAUGUUCGGAAUAGAUAACCGCUGAAAGCAUCUAAGCGGGAAACUAGCCUCAAGAUGAGAUCUCACUGGAACCUUGAGUUCCCUGAAGGGCCGUCGAAGACUACGACGUUGAUAGGUUGGGUGUGUAAGCGCUGUGAGGCGUUGAGCUAACCAAUACUAAUUGCCCGUGAGGCUUGACCAU